rnacentral:lncRNA from 1 species
CCGCUCCUCCUCUAGGUCCGAAUCUCCGCCCCGCAAGCGCUCCAAGAAGAACAGCAAGAGGAUUCCUGACAAGAAGAGCAAGAGGAGCAAGGGCAGCCGCGGCGGCAGCCUUAGACGUCGGCACCAUAGUCUUAGCCAUAGCCGUAGCCUUAGUAGCAGCCCUUCCUCAGUAGCCCGACGCAGCAGCUCCUCAUGUAGCAGCAGCAGCGCCUCUGAGAGGUCGGUGAGCCCGCCACCCAGGAGCAGGUCCAGAGAUGUAAG